rnacentral:rRNA from 1 species
ACUCCUACGGGAGGCAGCAGUAGGGAAUUUUCCGCAAUGGACGAAAGUCUGACGGAGCAAUGCCGCGUGAGUGAUGAAGGUUUUCGAAUCGUAAAGCUCUGUUGUAAGGGAAGAAUAGCAAGAAUAGGAAAUGAUUCUUGUCUGACGGUACCUUACCAGAAAGCCACGGCUAACUACGUGCCAGCAGCCGCGGUAAUACGUAGGUGGCAAGCGUUAUCCGGAAUUAUUGGGCGUAAAGCGCAUGUAGGCGGCUCUUUAAGUCUGAUGUGAAAGCCUGUGGCUCAACCGUGGAGGGUCAUUGGAAACUGGAAAACUUGAGUGCAGAAGAGGAAANUGGAAUUCCAUGUGUAGCGGUGAAAUGCGCAGAGAUAUGGAGGAACACCAGUGGCGAAGGCGACUUUCUGGUCUGUAACUGACGCUGAUGUGCGAAAGCGUGGGGAGCAAACAGGAUUAGAUACCCUGGUAGGAUAGCGU